ACAACAAGAACACAAAGAGGCAAUCACUCCAACAAUUCCCGAUUACACAUCCACUAGGGUAACAACACAAGAUCCACAAGUCACAAACACAAUCAAAGGAAAGAUACAAUGGCAAAGUUCAUCCCAAAUCCAAAGGAAGUGGGGGCUUGAAGGUAGUCUUCUCCUUAUGGAGGUCUUGAAAUCCUCAAGGAUUUUUCCCUAGGGGGUCUUGAUCCUCCAAGAGGGAAGGUAAAGGAGCAAAGCUCACCAAGAUCUCAUCUAAUACUUUGCUAACCCUAAACAUGGUCCUUGGUACGGAAUAUAUAGCCUUGGGGUUGAGGGAGAAGGAGAGGAGCCGAAGAUGCAAUCUCAGCCGGCCAUCCUAGGAGGCCCGUGCGCACGGGGUAAGUUGGGCUCGUGCGCAUGGGGGUCCCGUGGGCACGGUACAGGCCCGUGCGCACGGGGUGCUCCAGCGCCAUCUUCCAGUGUGGUCCGUGGGCACGGGGUCUCGGGGGCCCGUGGGCACGGGGUCGCCUGGAGCCUCCUAUGCUGCUGCUGUUGUCCUUCUUCUUGGUUCGCACGGCCUUGGGGUUGUCCUCCUCCUCCUUGGUGAUGCUCUUGAGCUUCUUGGUGAUGUUCCUCUUCAUACCUAAGGAGGCAUAGCAUAUCUUGGUGAGGUAGUAAACAUGUUCCAUUCGCGUCCAUAUGCAAAUCUAGUAGGAAGGAAUUCACCUCGGUUUCCAAAGCACGUGCUCUAGCUCUUGUCAUGGGUCCUCGUGGGGUUGGAUGUGUCAGUGUAGAACCCAUGGGGAUGAUGGAAGGAUGCUCCGCAUCAUCUCCCCUCCCAUGGGAAAGAUCUGACCUCGGAUCAAGAUGUUCAUCACCAUGGAAAGGCGAGAGGUCUUUGACGUGGAAGAUAUCGCUCACGUUGUACUUGUCUUGUGGGAGUUCAAUCUUGUAGGCAUUGUCGUUGUAGCGUGCUAGCACCUUGAAGUGUCCAUAGGCUCGAGGGAGAAGUUUGGACUUGCGUUCGUUGGGGAAGCGGUCCUUGCGAAGGUGUAGCCACACGAGAUCGCCUAUGUUGAAGAUCAUGGGUUGCUUGUUGACGUUGAGCUUGGUCGCUAGUCGGUGUACUUGGCGCUCGAUGAUGUUCCUUGUAUCUUCAUGCAUCUUCUUGAUGUAGCUUGCUCAUGCACUCGCAUCCAUGUUGGUGCACUCUUGUAGAGGAAGAGGUAGAAUGUCCAAAGGGGACAACGGGUUGAAGCCAUAGACGACCUCGAAGGGGGACUUGCCGGUAGUCGAAUGUCUUGAACGGUUGUAGGCGUACUCGGCGAUGGGUAGACACGCCUCCCACUCCUUGAUGUUCUUCUUGAUCAACACGCGAAGUAGAGUGUAUAGCGUCCGGUUUGUCACCUCCAUUUGGCCGUCGGUUUGAGGAUGGUAUGCGGAUGAGAAUAAGAGCUUGAUUCCGAGCUUGGCGCAUAGCGUCUUCCAAAAGUAACUCAAGAACUUGACGUCGCGGUCGGAUACGGUUGUCUUUGGUACUCCAUGGAGGCGCAAGAUUUCCCUACAAAAGAGAUUUGCAACGUGUGAAGCAUCGUCUAUCUUGUUGCAAGGAAUGAAAUGUGCCAUCUUAGAAAAUCGGUCCACAACAACAAAUACAGAAUCCUUUCCAUUUUGAGUUCUAGGCAAACCAAGUACAAAAUCCAUGCUAAUGUCUUCCCAAGGUUGAUAAGGAAUAGGAAGAGGCAUGUAAAGACCAUGUGAUUGAGCUUUAGACUUAGCUUUGCGACAUGUAGAGCAUCGGGUGGUGAAGCGUGAGACGUCGCAGAACAUCUUGGGCCAAAAGUAGUUUUUGGAGAGCGUGGCGAAAGUCUUGUCGCGUCCAAAGUGUCCCAUGAGUCUGCCUCCAUGAGCCUCUUGCAAAAGGAGCAAACGAAGAGAAGACUCGGGAAUGCAUAGUUUGUUAGAUCUCAUAAGAUAACCAUCCUUGAUGUAAUAUUGUUCCCAAGAUGUAUGCGUCAAACAUUUAGCACAAUGAGUUGCAAAAGAUGGAUCAUUAGCAUACAAGUCUUUUAUGUGCUCAAGGCCAAUAACAUUCAACUCAAGUUUAGUGACAGGCGUGCAUAUGCGUGAAAGUGCAUCGGCAACUACAUUUUCCUUACCCUUAAUGUACUUGAUCACAUAGGGAAAAGAUUCAAUAAAUUCACUCCAUUUGGCAUGACGCUUGUUCAACUUAGUUUGGCCUUUUAAGUACUUAAGCAUUUCAUGAUCGGUAUGGAGGACAAAUUCAUGAGGUCUAAGAUAAUGUUCCCAAACAUGUAGCACACACACUAAAGCAUACAAUUCUUUGUCAUAGAUGGGAUAGUUAAGUUGAGCACCGGAGAGUUUUUCACUAAAAUAUGCAAUUGCUCGUUUUUCUUGCAUCAAAACUCCGCCAAUUCCGGUACCACUUGCAUCACAAUGAACCUCAAAAGUUUUGUCAAAGUUGGGCAAAGCAAGAAUCGGAGCAUGAGUAAGCAAAGACUUGAGCUCAUCAAAAGCGGUGGAUUGCAAAGAUCCCCAAACAAAAGGAGCAUUCUUCUUACUCAAAGCAUGCAAAGGAGCGGCAAUAGUGCUAAAGUCUUUCACAAAGCGACGAUAAAAACCCGCAAGACCAAGAAAACUACGCACUUGUUGCAAAUUGGUGGGUUGGGGCCAAGUUUUAAUUGCUUCAAUUUUAGUUUCAUCAACAUGGACACCUUUGGAAGAGACAACAAAACCCAAGAAAACCACUUUGUCAACACCAAAUGUGCACUUUUUCAUGUUGGCAUAAAGAUUUUCCUUGCGAAGUGUCUGCAAAACAGCCCUAACAUGAUCAAGAUGCUCUUUCAUGGUUUUGCUAAACACAAGAAUAUCAUCGAAGUAAACCACAACAAAGACUCCAAUAUAAGAGAAAGUACAUGAUGCAUGAGACGCACGAAAGUACCGGGAACCUCCGAUAAACCCAUAGGCAUAACUAACCACUCAUAUAAUCCAAAUUUUGUUUUGAAAGCAGUUUUCCAUUCAUCACCCUCUUGUAUGCGGAUUUGAUAAUAGCCACUUUUAAGAUCAAUUUUUGAGAAAAAGUUGGCUCCAUUAAGUUCAUCAAGAAUAUCAUCUAAGCGAGGAAUGGGAUGCCUAUAGCGAACGGUGAUAGCAUUUAUAGGUCUACAAUCGGAACACAAGCGGAAACUUCCAUCGGACUUAGGCACAAGUAUAAUGGGAACGACACAAGGGCUUAAGCUUUCACGUACAUGACCGUUGUCGAUUAGUUGUUGUACUUGCUGUUGAAUCUCCUUGGUUUCUUCGGGAUUGACACAGUAUGGAUCUUUGUUUGGAAGUGGCGCUCUGGGGAUGAGGUCGAUUCGAUGCUCAAUGCCUCGUAGAGGAGGUAGACCCGGAGGUAGCUCAUCGGGGAAAACGUCUUGAAAUUCCUGCAAAAGAGAUUGAAACACCAAAGGUAGCUCACGAGCGGUGUUAGUUUUUGCUUCUCCAUCCUUGCACACAAGGACAAAGUGCAUCACACUCGAUCGGUUCUCACACACUUCUCUCAUCUCACUUUUUGUCGAAAAUAGUAUGAAGUUUUUCUCUCUAGGCGAAGAGGCGCUCAAGUUUGGCUUGUGUCUCUCACUUACGUUUGGGUGGCUCACUUUCUCACUCUUCUCUCCAUGAUGGGUGGAUUGCUUGUCGACUAUCACUUGACUAGGAGACAUAGGUCGUAGCACAUAUUCCUUUCCUUUCAUCUUGAAGCUAUAGUGAUUGGUACGCCCGUUGUGGAUGACACCACGGUCGAAUUGCCAUGGUCGACCAAGGAGGUGGUAAACGGUCAUUGGGACCACAUCACACUCCAAAGUGUCCUCAUAUGAACCAAUUUUGAAGGAGACUUGGACCGUAUGCUCAACUCGUAUAGUGCCGGAGUCACUUAGCCAUUGAACCUUGUAGGGGUGCUGGUGCUUCGUCUUGACCAAUUGAAGCUUGGAGCAUAGUUCUUCACUUGCCAAGUUGUGGCAACUACCUCCAUCGAUGAUGACCUUGAUGGACCUUCCAUUGACGCCGGCCUUGGUGUGGAAGAUGUGGCAUCGUUGGUCUUCUUCUUGUUGAUGUUGAAGAGUCAAGACCUUGGAGACAACGAGAGCGGGGCUCGAAUCCUCAUCACAAAAGACUCUAUCAUCUUCAUCCUUGUUCACUCGCCAGUGCAUGGCCACUUGCUCAAGAGCUUCCAUUUCAUCUUCACUCAUUGAGUCGUAGGUGCCAUCGUCGUUGAGGAUCAUGGUGCGCUUGUUUGUGCAUUCAUAGGACUUGUGGCCUCGGCCACCGCAAGUGAAACAUUUGAAGGAGCUUGUCUUGAAGGUCUCAUCGGUCAGAGUAGAUGAAGAAGCACGCGUCUUGUAGUUGCUUGUAGUAGGAGGAACACGACUGGAACUUGACGAAGGUUUCUUGUAGCUUGUCUUGUCGUCAUUGCUUGGAGAAGGCUUGGUUGAUGUAGAUGUUGGAGGGGUUGUUGAAGCUUGAUUGUUGGAGAAGCCGUAUGUCUUGGAUGAGUACUUGGCGUACUUGAAGUCAUCUUGCACUUGACGUUCUGCCUUGGUUGCUUGAUGCACGAGCUCGAUGAGGUUGGAGUAGGGUUGAAAGUCGGCGAUCUUCUUGAUUGGAUGAUUGAGUCCAUUCAAGAAUCGUGCCAUUGUUUGCUCAUCAUCUUCCUUGACAUUGAAUCGAAUCAUGGCUAUCUCCAUUUCCUUGUAGUAUUCUUCAACACUCUUUGUUCCUUGCUUGAGGAGUUGUAGCUUCUUGAAGAGAUCGCGGUUGUAUUAGGUGGGCACAAAUCAUGCUCGCAUGACAUCCUUCAUUUGAGUCGAAGUGGUGAUUGGAGGGUCACCUCUUGCUUCUCGGCGCUCAAGGACUUGUUCCCACCCUAUGAGCACAUAGUCUUGGAACUCAAGUGAUGCCAUUGCGAUCUUCUUCUCUUCCUCAUAGUUGUGCAAACGAAAGAUUUUGUCGACCUUCAAUGCCCAUGAGAGGUAUUCUUCCGGAUCAUUGCUUCCAUUGAGCUUGGGCAUUGUGAAUUUGAGAUUUCCAUAGCGUUGCUCUUCAUUGUGUUGUUGGCGAUGGUGAUGAUGACGCCCUUGACGUGGAGGGUAAUCAUCCUCAUAUUGCUCUUGGCACGGAGGAAGUCCAUGAUCAACUUGCUCUUGUUGAACUUGAGGUCGAGGUAGAGCUUGACGAUCUUGUGGAGGAGCUUGAGGGAAUUGACGUUGCACACGUGGUUGGUAGUUCCUCUCUUGGAUUUCUUUUCGAAGGGCUUCCUCUUGAUUGCGCCGUUUGCGAUUGCGGUUGGCGAUGGCUCGACUUGAUUCUUGAAGGGCAUGUUGCGCCUCAAGAGCUUGCACUUCACGUAGUUGUUGUUGAAGACGUUGAGCCUCGGCAUCUUGUUGCUCUUGGUGUAGACGCGCUCGUUCUUCUUCUUCUUGACGACGAAGACGUUGUCGUUCUUGAGCUUGAGCAAAAGCGACUUGGUUUGAUUGAGGACGAGUAACUUGCUCAUCGACUUGCUCUUGUGAAUGCUUGACGUGUAGCGGGUUGCGAGACGCAUGACGGUCUUGACGCGCGGCUCGUCGAAGAGUGUUCGAUGACGGAGUACUUGAGCCGGAGAAGGUGUCGUCGGAGUGUCGACUUGAGUGGCUCCGUCUUGAGUAGGAAGAAGUUGAAGGAGGCCGGUUGACCAACAAAGCUCGGAUCUCGUCCAUUCUUGCAUCGUUCCCUUGCUUGUGCGCGUCGAGCUUGUUGUCAAAGUAGUCUCGUGUACGUUGCUUGGAGAGUCGCAAGUCUGUGGCGAGGUUGUCGAUGCGGUCAUUCAUUGCUUGUUGCUCUUGAUGUAGCGCUCGUUGUGCACCAAAGAGGUGGCUCUUGGUGACGAAUGAUGACAUGUCGUCGUCUUGCUCCAUGAAGAGUGGGUUGGUAGAGGAACUUGGCCUAUCCAUCAUAAGAAAGUGGUGGUGAGUAGGAAAAUGAGAGAACAAAACCAAAGUUACCUUUCCGAAGAUUGUGUAUGUAACAAGUACGAUCCACGUGAUGUUACAAUAGGGGAAUUGGUAUCGGGAAUUGUUUCUCACACCUACAAGUAAAUGGUCUAUGGAGGAGCUUUGUUAGGAAAGGCACAAAUAAUUCAAGCAAAUGUUAGUCAAGAUGUUGAUAAAGUUGAGAAGAUUCACAAAUGGCAAGUAAGACAAAUAGAUCAACCUCCAAAGAUAACACGAGGAACACACACACACACGGAAGAUAAAUGUGAUCCGCAUAACCAAGGGGUGAGCUCGAAGAUGUCGAACCACAGGAAAAGCUCUUGUCGUACGGAUACUAGAGAGAUGCUAGCUCGAUUGCACUAAUGGGCUAGAUACGCUAGUGCACCAACCUAAUAGAGAAAUCACUCGUCUCACUAUCCCAAGUAUGCUUAUGUAUGUGAUGGCCAAGAUGAUGCACGUAUGCUAAGAGGCUCAAUGCUAUUUCUUAUAAGCUCUUUGCUUAUCUUCUCUUUUUCUUAAAAGCUUUUUCUCUUUUUUUUACUAUGCCAUGAUGCUUGGUAUACGAGCCACACAACGAGGUAACAAGUAGUAAAUGCACGGGAGGGACGGAACACUAAAUGGUGCACUAAGGCAUGGCCCGACAAUACUCAACCAGCUAGUCUCGAUGGGUAAGCUACGCAAAAGGGCUCGAAGCUAUCAAGUUAAUGGCAAGGGAGUACAAGGCAUCGUCGAGGUUACCGUCCUUGCUUACGGUAGUGAUGAAGAUGAUCUUGUCGAAGCCGAUGUGUUGUCCGAGUCGAUGAUUGGUGGCGAUGAUGAUGGUACCAACUCGCGCCUAAGUAGCCGAAACACCUUAGGACACAAGAGAAACCUCGACCCAACACUCAAACAAACACGUGGAAUGGUGCGGAAGAACACGAGAGGUGUUGGGGAAACGAAAUGAGCAAAAACUGAAAAUGGUCGAAACUUCCUGGAUAGUUUGUGCGCACGGGGUAAGUGAGGCCCGUGUGCACGGGGUCCCGUGUGCACGGGGUCCCGAUGGCCCGUGUGCACGGGGUCUCCUGUGAGCGGACGAACUGCUCGGGUCCCGUGGUGAUUUCCAAGUUUUUGGCCCAAUUCAAACGGUGGAAGGGUGGGGAUGAAGGUGGAGGGGUAGAUCCACUUGCCAAACACCAAAUUCGUGGAUCAAAACAACCAAAUCUCACAAGAUCAAACAAAUUGCAAGAAAAAUUUUGGGGGCUAUUUUUGGUGGGGAUUUUCGGAUUAGGACGAAAAAUAACAAAAUCAAGCUAGAAAGUGGAAGGUAGGGACUCCAAGAUGUGAAUCAACGUGGCUCGUGAUACCAAGAUGAUGUAGGAUAGAACCCUAGGAGGGACCUUUUCACACUUGGAGGGGGGAAAAGAAGAGAAACAACAAGAACACAAAGAGGCAAUCACUCCAACAAUUCCCGAUUACACAUCCACUAGGGUAACAACACAAGAUCCACAAGUCACAAACACAAUCAAAGGAAAGAUACAAUGGCAAAGUUCAUCCCAAAUCCAAAGGAAGUGGGGGCUUGAGGGUAGUCUUCUCCUUAUGGAGGUCUUGAAAUCCUCAAGGAUUCUUCCCUAGGGGGUCUUGAUCCUCCAAGAGGGAAGGUAAAGGAG
rnacentral:lncRNA from 1 species